CAGCUAUAUCACAUUGAAACACUGGUUUCCAUAUGACCAUCAAAGUUAAGCAAUGUCAAGCCUGGUCAGUACCUGGAUGAAUGACCAUUUGGGAAUACCAGGUACUGUAA